rnacentral:lncRNA from 1 species
CUUGAAUACUUUCUCAGCCUGACCACCAUUCUUGAUUUCUGUUAACUCUUUCCCAUUUGAACUAGUUUCAUCAAAUAGUGGAUUCACCUUCUUGAAUUCAGUUGAAUCUUUCUCCUUGGAAUCAUUUUCGUCGCUCACCUUAGAUACUUGAUCAACUGUAGGUCCAUAAGCCCAACUGCAUACUAAGUAAUACAAUAGAUUUAGAGCAUUAAUUCCAACUAUAACCCAAUAAUACUUGUCGAAAUGACCUUUGUUAAUAUUAUCAGAAACCCACCCUUCAUUUCCUCCACUUGGAGUAGUGCUUUCUAUAAUGCUCAAUACUAAAGAGGAUACCAAGUUUCCUACACCCAUUGCCAAUCCAGAAAGGGAAGCAGCAACACUAGACAUACUCUUUGGAAACUCUUUGUAA